rnacentral:rRNA from 1 species
AGUUGUCGUGGGAUUGGCGACCCUGCGACAGUCCAUGAGCUCCGCGAUAUAGUGGGGGCUAGUGCGCCGUCGGUUCUUUGCAUUGUGGAGACUCAAAUUGCAAAAAAUCGAGUGGAAGGUUUGGCGGCUUCUUUAGGUUUUCAAAAUAGUUUUACAGUUCCUAGCAGUGGGCGUAGUGGCGGGCUUUGUAUUUUUUGGAAGGCAGAAGUGAACUUGGCAAUAAAAAAUUUCUUGUAGUAUCAUAUAGACUUGUGGGUUUCUGAACCAGGGUCUGAGCAAUGGCGCCUCACAUGUUUCUAUGGUGAGGCCAACAGGAGUUUGAGGUAUAAAACAUGGGACACCAUGAAGGUUGAGGGGGAGAGCACGCUACCCUGGCUUUGCAUAGGUGAUUUCAACGAGAUUCUUCGUCAGGAGGAGCAAAUGGGCCCUAAUCCUCGUGAUAGCGCACAAAUGGAGGGUUUCAGAGAAGCGGUGGAUAUAUGUGAAUUGGCUGACUUGGGAUACUGUGGUCUAACUGGACUUUUGAGAAACGAGUUACGUGAGGUGAUUUUUGUAGAGUCCGGUUGGACCGGGCUUUAG